GAGAUAUUAGUAAAAUAUUACAUGACUUUGUCAAAGUCAAAUCAUAGGUGAAACUCCUAUAUAUCUCU
rnacentral:tRNA from 1 species